rnacentral:lncRNA from 1 species
UGAAUUUUCCAAACAUCGUAACUUUCAUUGAAUUUACUCUCUUGAAAAAAAUGCAAAAAAAGAAAAGGAGGAUCACAUAACAAAAAUCCAUAAUACAAAAUUCUAUAACAUUAAAUAAAAUAAGCCAAAUGGCUUUUGAAGCCCGACACUAGUUGAUGGAACGACUAUACAUCUCUUUCAACUUCACCAUCUUCACAGCUCACAAGUUCAGGCCCCAUACGCUCAGUUCACAAGCUUAGCAAAUUCCACGCAAGAAGAACAUGCUCUAUUUCUAUCAAAUAUCAAAACAAACACUCGAUGUGCAAACUUAGAGAGCUAGUAUGCUCAUGCAGAACACUCCCGUGUGGUCAGGAUCGUCUCAAUGAAGAAGAGGUUGGCAUCACCUGAGUCCUGACAACCCUCAAAUCAAAUCACGCCUGAAAAAUUCAACUGCCAAAAAAGAUAAUCCCGCUAAUUUCUAUGUUCCAAAACAGAGCACAGAGAAAAAUUACUUCGUUGACAGAAAAAUUCGAUGACAGGAACAAUCCUGAGACGGGCUGGAGCUCUUUUCGGUACACCUGCAAUGUCUUCAAUUGUUCUUCCUCUUGAAUGAAGCACUGUCAUCAUCUUGUCCUGCAAGAACUUUAUAUUUUGAUGUGUUAAAACAAAAGCAUCAGGCCUCCGAUUCCAACAGCUUCAAAAGAACCAGAUCUCGACCAUCAAAUCAAGUACUAUUAGCGCCAUAAAAUUUUUGCAGAGAAAUAAAGCAAUUAUUCACAAAAGUAUCGCGUCUUACAUUACUCAAAAUCAGAAAAUCCGGAGAGAGGAUGACAUGAAAACCAGUUCUCCAGGACAAAAAAGUUUAGCGAAGACAAAUUUUGAUGAACUCAAUACGUGAAAAAAUAACCCCAAAAAAGGGGAAAACAAU